rnacentral:rRNA from 1 species
CUAUUCACUUGACGUUAGCGACAGAAGAAGCACCGGCUAACUCCGUGCCAGCAGCCGCGGUAAUACGGAGGGUGCGAGCGUUAAUCGGAAUUACUGGGCGUAAAGCGCAUGCAGGUGGUUUGUUAAGUCAGAUGUGAAAGCCCGGGGCUCAACCUCGGAAUAGCAUUUGAAACUGGCAGACUAGAGUACUGUAGAGGGGGGUAGAAUUUCAGGUGUAGCGGUGAAAUGCGUAGAGAUCUGAAGGAAUACCGGUGGCGAAGGCGGCCCCCUGGACAGAUACUGACACUCAGAUGCGAAAGCGUGGGGAGCAAACAGGAUUAGAUACCCUGGUAGUCCACGCCGUAAACGAUGUCUACUUGGAGGUUGUGGCCUUGAGCCGUGGCUUUCGGAGCUAACGCGUUAAGUAGACCGCCUGGGGAGUACGGUCGCAAGAUUAAAACUCAAAUGAAUUGACGGGGGCCCGCACAAGCGGUGGAGCAUGUGGUUUAAUUCGAUGCAACGCGAAGAACCUUACCUACUCUUGACAUCCAGAGAACUUUUCAGAGAUGGAUUGGUGCCUUCGGGAACUCUGAGACAGGUGCUGCAUGGCUGUCGUCAGCUCGUGUUGUGAAAUGUUGGGUUAAGUCCCGCAACGAGCGCAACCCUUAUCCUUGUUUGCCAGCGAGUAAUGUCGGGAACUCCAGGGAGACUGCCGGUGAUAAACCGGAGGAAGGUGGGGACGACGUCAAGUCAUCAUGGCCCUUACGAGUAGGGCUACACACGUGCUACAAUGGCGCAUACAGAGGGCAGCAAGCUAGCGAUAGUGAGCGAAUCCCAAAAAGUGCGUCGUAGUCCGGAUUGGAGUCUGCAACUCGACUCCAUGAAGUCGGAAUCGCUAGUAAUCGUGGAUCAGAAUGCCACGGUGAAUACGUUCCCGGGCCUUGUACACACCGCCCGUCACACCAUGGGAGUGGGCUGCAAAAGAAGUAGGUAGUUUAACCUUCGGGAGGACGCA